rnacentral:tRNA from 1 species
CCCAGGCUGGUGCAAUGGUAGCACAGCUGGUGACACACGGGAACGCCUACAGCGCGGAACCGUGCCCUUGGGGCGGCAGAUCUGGGUUCGGAUCCCAGGCCUGGGG